rnacentral:rRNA from 1 species
GGAAUAUUGGACAAUGGGCGAAAGCCUGAUCCCGCCAUGCCGCGUGUGUGAAGAAGGUCUUCGGAUUGUAAAGCACUGUAAGUUGGGAGGAAGGGUAGUAACUUAAUACGUUGCUAUUUUGACGUUACCGACAGACUAAGCACCGGCUACAUUCGUGCCACCACCCGCGGUAAUACGAAGGGUGCAAGCGUUAAUCGGAAUUACUGGGCGUAAAGCGCGCGUAGGUGGUUCAGUAAGUUGGAUGUGAAAUCCCCGGGCUCAACCUGGGAACUGCAUCCAAAACUGCUGAACUAGAGUACGGUAGAGGGUGGUGGAAUUUCCUGUGUAGCGGUGAAAUGCGUAGAUAUAGGAAGGAACACCAGUGGCGAAGGCGACCACCUGGACUGAUACUGACACUGAGGUGCGAAAGCGUGGGGAGCAAAC